rnacentral:rRNA from 1 species
GAUGAACGCUGGCGGCGUGCCUAAUACAUGCAAGUCGAGCGAACAGACGAGGAGCUUGCUCCUCUGACGUUAGCGGCGGACGGGUGAGUAACACGUGGAUAACCUACCUAUAAGACUGGGAUAACUUCGGGAAACCGGAGCUAAUACCGGAUAAUAUAUUGAACCGCAUGGUUCAAUAGUGAAAGACGGUUUUGCUGUCACUUAUAGAUGGAUCCGCGCCGCAUUAGCUAGUUGGUAAGGUAACGGCUUACCAAGGCAACGAUGCGUAGCCGACCUGAGAGGGUGCUCGGCCACCCUGGAACUGAGACCCGGUCCCAACCCCUACGGGGGGCAGCAGUAGGGAAUCUCCCGCAAGGGGCGAAAGCCUGACGGGGCAACGCCGGGGGGGUGAUGAAGGUUUUCGGAUCGUAAACCCCUUUUUUUGGGGAAAAAAAAAUGUGUAAGUAACUAUGCACGUUUUGACGGUACCUAAUCAAAAAGCCCCGGCUAACUACGU